GGACGUUUAGGAGGUGGAUUGAAUAAGUUGAUUUCUGAUCAGCAACUUCUCUGAACUAUUUCUGACUAGAGAGGACAACUUCAGUUUUUUUUCCUGUCAGCAAAAUCUGCUUGAAUCACAACACCCGAGCAGAAAGAACUUUGUGCUUAAGCUUGAAAAGGGCUCCACAAAUACAUGUGAUUCAUUCAGUGACCCAUCCUCAGUUCCCUGCUGACCUUUACAGCAGUGAAAUAUCUUGCCCAAGGACACUGCGACAUGCAGAUGGGGAAGAAUUGGAUUUGAACCGCCAACCUUCUUGUUGGAGGACGACCACUCUACCCCUAGGCCCGACGCCCCUAAUACGUAUCUUAUCUGGCACUAACCUUGUGCUUGUGGAGGCCAUAAGCCAGUACAGUCCCUGUACCGGCGAGCAGUCCUGCCAGGCCAUGUCUCCAGCUGGGACUGUGGGCGCGCCGGUACGACCUCUGGUCACCACUGCUGUUGCUCCGGAGACGGACCGCGCAUGAUGCCACAGCAGGGGCCACCGGAUGCCUGUGAAAAUAAAAACUACUGAAGGUCAUUUUUAUGCAGACCAAACUCAUUAGAUGGUGAAUAUGUGAUUAUUAAUAGAAGUUCAAAGAGAUUAGUGUGAUCACAAAAAAGAAAUACAAAACAUAAAAAGUGGAGGGAUAUUAAAGUCAGGCUAUAGUUAACAGCUGGAGUAUCCUUCAUCAUGUGUGUAUUUUGUUACAGUACUGUACCUUUGAAUGCUGACAGGCCCAAAUCGAGUCAGGCUGUGGCAGCGUCUGAGAAGCAGCAUUGCAUUGAUCUUCAGGAGUAGAGAAAAAACUGGUAAUUUCACUGUUGCAACAAAUAGCACAUUACAA